GACGAACGCUGGCGGCGUGCUUAACACAUGCAAGUCGAACGGAAAGGCCUCUUUCGGGGGGUACUCGAGUGGCGAACGGGUGAGUAACACGUGAGUAACCUGCCCUUGACUUUGGGAUAACUUCGGGAAACUGGGGCUAAUACCGGAUAGGAGCUCCUGUUGCAUGGUGGGGGUUGGAAAGUUUCGGCGGUUGGGGAUGGACUCGCGGCUUAUCAGCUUGUUGGUGGGGUAGUGGCUUACCAAGGCGUUGACGGGUAGCCGGCCUGAGAGGGUGACCGGCCACAUUGGGACUGAGAUACGGCCCAGGCUCCUACGGGGGGCAGCAGUGGGGAAUAUUGCACAAUGGGUGGAAGCCUGAUGCAGCAACGCCGUGUGCGGGAUGACGGCCUUCGGGUUGUAAACCGCUUUCGCUCAUGACGAAGCUUUGUGUGACGGUAGUGGGUAAAGAAGCACCGGCUAACUACGUG
rnacentral:rRNA from 1 species